ensembl:snoRNA
GACCUCCUAAUACUUACCACAGGCUAUGUUCUUAUACUAACUAUAUAGAAAGAUGACAGUAUGCCAAUUGUACACCUCAGCCCAAGCCCUGUGCCUGGUCUGUAUUGUGAAUGGGGAGACACAG